GCCGUCUUAGCUCAGUAGGUAGAGCGCAUCCAUGGUAAGGAUGAGGUCGGCGGUUCGAAUCCGCUAGACGGCU
rnacentral:tRNA from 3 species